rnacentral:lncRNA from 1 species
GGAGAUGGGUUUAAGAUUAAAAUUGGCAACCCUGCCUGAUUUUAUCACAUCUCAUGACGCUCGGCACGCUGCUUAAAACCUCAGCUUUUGGAAACUGGCACAAUGAAUUCAAGCUCUGCUUACAAACCCCCAGACCUCUGCUCUACGUAGAUGCAGGACACGGAUCCCACACACACAGGAUCCAGAAGGAAAGGACUACACGUGACGCUUCAUUCGUCUCCUUAUUUUUGGGAAACGCACUCACGGCUUUUUGAACAUCUGGUAUUAAUAGCUUAUUUCUGCAAUAAGAACAUGAAAAUUUUCUUUCAAAACGGACUAAAACUUGUUUGCUUUGAAAUUUUGGAGAUAUCCACUCAUAAAAGGGAAAAAGAAAAAAAGCAAAAAAAGAGAAAGGGAAACGGAACAGCAAAGGACGUUGAGAUGUCUUUUAAGCAGCACUGAAUUACUCGGUCCAUACAACGAGUGACUACUUUUUAUUCUGCAGUAUUUUUUGCUGGCCAAAAGACCGUAAGCCAAAGUGCUCCCAGCUGCCAAUGGACCACGGCAGGUCGGGCAGGGCAUGGGACAGGCCAGCACAAACCCACCUCCAAGUCCUACUCAAUGAUCUGCUUUAGAACAGCCUGCAGUCUGACCCCAGGUAAUCCCACAGAAUCUGCAGCAGCAACUGGACCUGAAGGCAAUUUAGGAACAGUGACCGCAAUUUAGGCUCUAACAGAGCAGUACCUGUGAUCUCCUCCUGGCACCUCCACCACCAUUUGCUUUCCAGCUCUGGUAUUAUCUUUCCCUUUUCAUCUUUCACUUCUCCCCCUCCCUCCUUCCUCAUACAGUAGCUCUUUCAGCUGCUCUCAGUAGGUGCUGCUUUACCUAAUUAAUUGACGACUCAACAAGUGCACUUUCUAAUUAAAGUAAAUAAGCCCAUGCUUGGAACAGUGGCUCACAGUGUUACCCAGCACUCGUUCCUCAGGAGCAGGAUAUUAUGGGCUCCACCUCCUCUGUGCCAAAUUAAUGCAUUAAACUAAUAGAGCAGAAGCAAAUAAAAGCUUCCUAGAGCAUCACUUAGGAGUGUUAUUCUGAAACAAAGCCAUUCCCAGUCUUGAAUUGCUGAAGCCAACGGGAUCUUCUAUGUUAGCUGGACUUUACAGAGAGGGGGGAAAAGAACAGCUCUUUCAAACCCAAAUCUCAAACCCAAAGUCCCAUUUGGCGCUUCCAGUGCUGCUGUUGUGGAUGAUUUGGUUUGGGAAGAACUGAGGGAUCAGAACCUCAGGAGGUUCUGUUACCUCUUAUGGUACCUGAAUGACUCGGUCUGUCCCAUAAUAACAUCCCAUAUUAAAGGCUGCUCUCCUCUUCCGUGCCACACAUUUAAGACAGGAAUUUUCCAGACAGCCACACUAAAUCUUCACCUGUGCUCACCAUUUCAUCCAUGCUCACCAUUCCUGCAUACCUGAAGUUAUGAGGGUCUCACCCUGCUGUUAAGCUGGUGAUGAUAUCUCCUUAAUGCGUGCAAUCUAGCAUGCAUUUAAACCCAGUUACACCUCUUUCCCCCGCUGGGUGAGGCUGGGAGGGGAGAGCCCUGUCCCAGCACGGGAGCCCGUCACGUUUUGGCUGCUGAGGGAACAUCAGAAGCGUUCCCUCCCUGGGAGAACCCUGCAUUCGUGAUGUCCUAUUUCUCAGAAACAUCAGGACGAGCCUCGAGACACAAAACAGAACAGCGAGGCCAAAUGUGUCACACAGUGUUUUCACAAGGAGGAAAAAUAACCCCCCUCUCCCCCCAGUGCAACCAGUUAAAUGGAGCAGCGGGGUGCUGGGGGGGUGGUUGGCAUCCAGCUCUGAGCACGCAGAGGGACCAGCAGUGCCAUCCGCACGCCCUGUGAGAACCCCAGCAAAAGGUACAUUCCCAAAACAAAUCGAACCAACCAUCAUCUUCCUCUAUUGUUCAAGACUUGGUGUGGGUUUUUUUUUUUUUUUUCCAGCAUUAAAGGCAAAAAAAAAAAAAAAAAGAAAAAAAAAGCCAAAAUUCAGAGGAUCUCAGAAUGCUAUGAGAACGGUCAAAAGUGCUUCCAAACCAGCAGUUGAGUUGGUGUCUGAACUUGUUUCCACAGAUGGGCUGGGAGCAGGGCCGUGUUGGUUUAGGCCUUACGUACUUAGAGUUCAUUAAGUCAAAAGAAAGCUUUGUGCCUCAGAGUAGUUUUUGGAUGAGCUUACAGGUUUCAAUAGCCUGGACAGUGCAACGGGGAAGGGCGAACGUGAAAGGGGGAACAGAAGUGCAUUGAGAAGUGAGUGGGAAAGCGGGGUGACAGAGCUGCAUUUUGCACCAAGUCACUCUCAGCUUGUUGCAAGCUCCUGGCUUCGAGCAAUUAGCUCAGAAAUAAGGAUUUGUUUGUGUUUUCACAGUCCCUCACUGUUGUGGAAACCAGACAGAAAGCCAACAAAAAUGGGGCUCUUCCCGCUGCAUUUCCUUCAGCAAUAAACACCUCCUUCAUUUCUAUAUAUAU